GCCCUCUUAGCUCAGUGGUAGUAGCGCGUCACUAGUAAGCGUAUGUUAUGACGAGGUCGGUCGUUCAAAUCGGCCAGGGGGCA